GACGAACGCUGGCGGCGUGCCUAACACAUGCAAGUCGAACGAAGUGGCGAACGGGUGAGUAAUUCCUAGGAAUCUGCCUGGUAGAGGGGGAUAACUUCCGGAAACGGGCGCUAAUACCGCCUCCUCUCCGCUGAGCCUAGGUCGGAUUAGCUAGUUGGUGGGGUAAAGGCAUACAACGGCGACGAUCCGUAACUGGUCUGAGAGGAUGAUCAGUCACACUGGAACGGAGACACGGUCCAGACUCCUACGGGAGGCAGCAGUGGGGAAUAUUGGACAAUGGGCGAAAGCCCGAUCCAGCCAGGCCGCGUGUGUGAAGAAGGUCUUCGGAUUGUAAAGCACUUUAAGUUGGGAGGCGUUACCAACAGAAUAAGCACCGGCUAACUUCGUGCCAGCCGCCGCGGUAAUAC
rnacentral:rRNA from 1 species